rnacentral:rRNA from 1 species
GAUGAACGCUAGCUACAGGCUUAACACAUGCAAGUCGAGGGGCAGCAUGGAAGAAGCUUGCUUCUUCUGAUGGCGACCGGCGCACGGGUGCGUAACGCGUAUCAAACCUGCCUCAUACUCGGGGAUAGCCUUGCGAAAGUAAGAUUAAUACCCGAUGUUGUUAUGUUGCCGCAUGGUGAUAUAACCAAAGAUUUAUCGGUAUGAGAUGGUGAUGCGUCCGAUUAGGUAGUAGGCGGGGUAACGGCCCACCUAGCCAUCGAUCGGUAGGGGUUCUGAGAGGAAGGUCCCCCACACUGGAACUGAGACACGGCCCAGACUCCUACGGGAGGCAGCAGUAGGGAAUCUUCGGCAAUGGACGGAAGUCUGACCGAGCAACGCCGCGUGAGUGAAGAAGGUUUUCGGAUCGUAAAGCUCUGCUGUAAGAGAAGAACGAGUGUGAGAGUGGAAAGUUCACACUGUGACGGUAUCUUACCAGAAAGGGACGGCUAACUACGUGCCAGCAGCCGCGGUAAUACGUAGGUCCCGAGCGUUGUCCGGAUUUAUUGGGCGUAAAGCGAGCGCAGGCGGUUAGAUAAGUCUGAAGUUAAAGGCUGUGGCUUAACCAUAGUACGCUUUGGAAACUGUUUAACUUGAGUGCAAGAGGGGAGAGUGGAAUUCCAUGUGUAGCGGUGAAAUGCGUAGAUAUUUGGAGGAACACCAGUGGCGAAGGCGAUUUUCUGGUCUAACAUUGACGCUGAGGCUCGAAAGCGUGGGGAGCGAACAGGAUUAGAUACCCUGGUAGUCCACGCCGUAAACGAUGAGUGCUAAGUGUUGGGGGCUUUCCGGCCCUCGGUGCUGGAGCUAACGUAUUAAGCACUCCGCCUGGGGAUUACGACCGCAAGGUUGAAACUCAAAAGAAUUGACGGGGACCCGCACAAGCGGUGGAGCAUGUGGUUUAAUUCGAAGCAACGCGAAGAACCUUACCAGCUCUUGACAUCUUCUGACAACUCUAGAGAUAGAGCGUUCCCUUCGGGGACAGAAUGACAGGUGGUGCAUGGUUGUCGUCAGCUCGCGUCGUGAGAUGUUGGGUUAAGUCCCGUAACGAGCGCAACCCUUGUUGUUAGUUGCCAGCAUUAAGUUGGGCACUUUAACGAGACUGCCGGUGAUAAACCGGAGGAAGGCGGGGAUGACGUCAAAUCAUCAUGCCCCUUAUGAGCUGGGCUACACACGUGCUACAAUGGAUGGUACAACGAGCAGCGAUCCCGCAAGGGCUAGCUAAUCUUUCAAAGCCAUUCUCAGUCCGGAUUGCACUCUGCAACUCGAGUGCAUGAAGUCGGAAUCGCUAGUAAUCGCGAAUCAGAAUGUCGCGGUGAAUCCGUUCCCGGGUCU